rnacentral:siRNA from 1 species
UGGCUUGAUUCGCUAUGAUCGAU